GAUGAACGCUGGCGGCGUGCCUAAUACAUGCAAGUAGAACGCUGAAGGAAGGGGCUUGCUCUUUCCGGAUGAGUUGCGAACGGGUGAGUAACGCGUAGGUAACCUGCCUGGUAGCGGGGGAUAACUAUUGGAAACGAUAGCUAAUACCGCAUAACAGUAGAUGUUGCAUGAUAUCUACUUAAAAGGUGCAAUUGCACCACUACCAGAUGGACCUGCGUUGUAUUAGCUAGUUGGUGAGGUAACGGCUCACCAAGGCGACGAUACAUAGCCGACCUGAGAGGGUGAUCGGCCACACUGGGACUGAGACACGGCCCAGACUCCUACGGGAGGCAGCAGUAGGGAAUCUUCGGCAAUGGACGGAAGUCUGACCGAGCAACGCCGCGUGAGUGAAGAAGGUUUUCGGAUCGUAAAGCUCUGUUGUAAGAGAAGAACGAGUGUGAGAGUGGAAAGUUCACACUGUGACGGUAUCUUACCAGAAAGGGACGGCUAACUACGUG
rnacentral:rRNA from 1 species